rnacentral:rRNA from 1 species
AUUGAACGCUGGCGGCAGGCCUAACACAUGCAAGUCGAACGAGUGGCGGACGGGUGAGUAAUGUAUGGGAAACUGCCCGAUGGAGGGGGCUAACUACUGGAAACGGUAGCUAAUACCGCAUACAAUCGGAUGUGCCCAGAUGGGAUUAGCUAGUAGGUGGGGUAACGGCUCACCUAGGCGACGAUCCCUAGGUGGUCUGAGAGGAUGACCAGCCACAGUGGAACUGAGAAACGGCCAAGACGCCUACGGGAGGCAGCAGUGGGGAAUACUGCACAAUGGUCGCCAGCCUGAUGCAGCCAGUCCGCGCGUAUGAAGAAGGCCCUCGUGUUGUAAAGUACUUUCAGCGGGGAGACGGCACGAACAGAAGAAGUCCCGGCUAACUCCGUGCCAGCAGCCGCGGUAAUUC